AUCCAGAUGACGAGCCGCAGACGAGACGAAACGCGCGUCUCGUCUGGGU
rnacentral:hammerhead_ribozyme from 1 species